rnacentral:rRNA from 1 species
GACGAACGCUGGCGGCGUGCUUAACACAUGCAAGUCGUACGGUAAGGCCCUUUCGGGGGUACACGAGUGGCGAACGGGUGAGUAACACGUGAGUAACCUGCCCACAACUUUGGGAUAACGCUAGGAAACUGGUGCUAAUACUGGAUAUGUGCUCCUGCUGCAUGGUGGGGGUUGGAAAGCUCCGGCGGUUGUGGAUGGACUCGCGGCCUAUCAGCUUGUUGGUGGGGUAGUGGCCUACCAAGGCGGCGACGGGUAGCCGGCCUGAGAGGGUGACCGGCCACAUUGGGACUGAGAUACGGCCCAGACUCCUACGGGAGGCAGCAGUGGGGAAUAUUGCACAAUGGUCGCAAGCCUGAUGCAGCAACGCCGCGGGCGGGAUGACGGCCUUCGGGUUGGAAACCGCUUUCAGCAGGGACGAAGCUUUUUGUGACGGUACCUGCAGAAGAAGCACCGGCUAACUACGUG